AUUACUAAGCGGAGGAAAAGAAACUAACAAGGAUUCCCAUAGUAACGGCGAGUGAAGUGGGAACAGCUCAGCGCCGAAUUCCCUGCCUCUGAGGCAGUGUGAACUGUGGUGUUUAGGAGAGCCUAUGCGGCGAAUGUCUGACGUCCGAGUCCUCCUGAUCGGGGCCUUACCCAGAGCGGGUGUCAGGCCUCUACGGCCUCAGACUUCGUCUCUCUGAGCCUCCUUGGAGUCGGGUUGUUUGGGAAUGCAGCCCAAAGUGGGUGGUAAACUCCAUCUAAGGCUAAAUACAGACACGAGUCCGAUAGC
rnacentral:rRNA from 1 species